CUUUUGUGAUGAAUCAAACUAGCACACUAUGAGUUAAACAAUGAAAAGAUAUGAACACCUGAGAAAC
rnacentral:snoRNA from 1 species